UUGACGGGACCGCACAAGCAGCGGAGCGUGUGGUUUAAUUCGAUGCUACACGAAGAACCUUACCAGGGUUUGACAUGUAAGUGGUAGUGAUCUGAAAGUGAACGACCCUUCGGAGGCACCUGCACAGGUGCUGCAUGGCUGUCGUCAGCUCGUGUCGUGAGAUGUUGGGUUAAGUCCCGCAACGAGCGCAACCCUUAUCCCUAGUUGCCAUCAGGUAAAGCUGGGAACUCUGGGGAGACUGCCGGUGAUAAACCGGAGGAAGGCGGGGAUGACGUCAAGUCCUCAUGGCCCUUACAUCCCGGGCUACACACGUGCUACAAUGGCAGGUACAGAGGGCUGCGAAGCCGCGAGGUGGAGCGAAUCCCAGAAAACCUGUCUCAGUCCGGAUUGAAGUCUGCAACUCGACUUCAUGAAGGCGGAAUCGCUAGUAACCGCGAAUCAGCAGGUCGCGGUGAAUACGUUCCCGGGCCUU
rnacentral:rRNA from 1 species